GACGAACGCUGGCGGCGUGCCUAAUACAUGCAAGUAGGACGCAGUUGCGAACGGGUGAGUAACGCGUAGGUAACUACCUAUUAGAGGGGGAUAACUAUUGGAAACGAUAGCUAAUACCGCAUACUAGUAGAUGGACCUGCGUUGUAUUAGCUAGUAGGUAGGGUAAUGGCCUACCUAGGCAACGAUACAUAGCCGACAGGAGAGGGUGAGCGGCCAAAAUGGGACUGAGAAACGGCACAGACGCAGACGGGAGGCAGCAGUAGGGAAUCUUCGGCAAGGGGGGGAACCCUGACCGAGCAAAGCCGCGGUAGUGAAGAAGGUUUUCGGAUCGGAAAGCUCUGUUGUUAAGGAAGCGGUACUUAACCAGAAAGGGACGGCUAACUACGUGCCAGCAGCCGCGGUAAUUC
rnacentral:rRNA from 1 species